rnacentral:rRNA from 1 species
GUGGGUAGUUUGACUGGGGCGGUCUCCUCCUAAAGAGUAACGGAGGAGCACGAAGGUUAGCUAAUCCUGGUCGGACAUCAGGAGGUUAGUGCAAAGGCAUAAGCUAGCUUGACUGCGAGAGUGACGGCUCGAGCAGGUGCGAAAGCAGGUCUUAGUGAUCCGGUGGUUCUGAAUGGAAGGGCCAUCGCUCAACGGAUAAAAGGUACUCCGGGGAUAACAGGCUGAUACCGCCCAAGAGUUCAUAUCGACGGCGGUGUUUGGCACCUCGAUGUCGGCUCAUCACAUCCUGGGGCUGAAGUAGGUCCCAAGGGUAUGGCUGUUCGCCAUUUAAAGUGGUACGCGAGCUGGGUUUAGAACGUCGUGAGACAGUUCGGUCCCUAUCUGCCGUGGGCGCUGGAGAAUUGAGGGGGGCUGCUCCUAGUACGAGAGGACCGGAGUGGACGCAUCACUGGUGUUCGGGUUGUCAUGCCAAUGGCAUUGCCCGGUAGCUAAAUGCGGAAGAGAUAAGUGCUGAAAGCAUCUAAGCACGAAACUUGCCCCGAGAUGAGUUCUCCCUGAGACUUUAAGUCUC